UUUCCGUAGGUGAACCUGCGGAAGGAUCAUUGUCGAU
rnacentral:rRNA from 3 species